rnacentral:lncRNA from 1 species
GCCUUCGACGUGGCGUUUUCUUCGGUUUCACUUCCGGUGGGAAGGAUACGAGCAAGAUAAAGCAGCGAGGGAUUUAAGUCUGGCAACAGUUGGACUGCUGGAUUUUCAGAGAAGUGUUCCCCAAAGCAAAUUAUAGUGCUAAUUUCCAAUGUUCCAUAAGCGUGGCAAGAAAAAUGGGAAGUUCUCGGUAAGGUAUAUAGUAUUAUUUCUAGAAAUAAAGAUGAACCAAUCCAAGAUUGAUUUUUUGUUUGUUUAAUCCUGGCAGUAUUCUUAACUAAAUUGUAUUCAUUCUUCCCUUUACUUUCCAGACUUUUUAAUUUUAUUUAUUUUUUUAUUUUUUGAGACAGAGUCUUGCCCAGGCUGGAGUGCAGUGCCACAAUCUUGGCUCACUGCAACCUCUGCCUCCCUGGUUCAAGCGUUUCUCCUGCCUCACCCUCCCAAGUAGCUGGGACUACAGGCACGUGCCAUCACGCCAGGCUAAUUUUUGCAUUUUUAGUACAGAUGGGGUUUUACAUAUUGAUCAG